rnacentral:rRNA from 1 species
AUUGAACGCUGGCGGCAGGCCUAACACAUGCAAGUCGAACGAGUGGCGCACGUGUGAGUAAUGUCUGGGAAACUGCCUGCUGGAGGGGAAUAACUACUGGAAACGGUAGAUAAUACCGCAUACCAUCGGAUGUGCCCAGAUGGGAUUAGCUAGUAGGUGGGGGAACGGCUCACCUAGGCGACGAUCCCUAGCUGGUCUGAGAGGAGGACCAGCCAGACUGGAACUGAGACACGGUCCAGAGUCCUACGGGGGGCAGCAGUGGGGAAUAUUGCACAAUGGGCGCAAGCCUGAUGCAGCCAUGCCGCGUGUAUGAAGAAGGCCUUCGGGUUGUAAAGUACUUUCAGCGGGGAGGCGUUACCCGCAGAAGAAGCACCGGCUAACGCCGUGCCAGCAGCCGCGGUAAUUC